UACAGAGGGUGCAAGCGUUGUUCGGAAUUAUUGGGCGUAAAGGGCGCGUAGGCGGUGCGGUAAGUCUGCGGUGAAAUCUCCCGGCUCAACUGGGAGGCUGCCGUGGAAACUGCCGUGCUUGAGUGUGGGAGAGGUGAGUGGAAUUCCCGGUGUAGCGGUGAAAUGCGUAGAUAUCUGGAGGAAUACCGGUGGCGAAGGCGGCAUCCUGGACCGAAACUGACGCUGAGGCGCGAAAGCUAGGGGAGCAAACGGG
rnacentral:rRNA from 1 species